rnacentral:rRNA from 1 species
CGGCGAGUGAAGCGGCAAAAGCUCAAAUUUGAAAUCUGGCACCUUCGGUGUCCGAGUUGUAAUUUGAAGAUUGUAACCUUGGGGUUGGCUCUUGUCUAUGUUUCUUGGAACAGGACGUCACAGAGGGUGAGAAUCCCGUGCGAUGAGAUGCCCAAUCCUAUGUAAGGUGCUUUCGAAGAGUCGAGUUGUUUGGGAAUGCAGCUCUAAGUGGGUGGUAAAUUCCAUCUAAAGCUAAAUAUUGGCGAGAGACCGAUAGCGAACAAGUACAGUGAUGGAAAGAUGAAAAGAACUUUGAAAAGAGAGUGAAAAAGUACGUGAAAUUGUUGAAAGGGAAGGGUUUGAGAUCAGACUCGAUAUUUUGUGAGCCUUGCCUUCGUGGCGGGGUGACCCGCAGCUUAUCGGGCCAGCAUCGGUUUGGGCGGUAGGAUAAUGGCGUAGGAAUGUGACUUUGCUUCGGUGAAGUGUUAUAGCCUGCGUUGAUGCUGCCUGCCUAGACCGAGGACUGCGAUUUUAUCAAGGAUGCUGGCAUAAUGAUCCCAAACCGCCCGUCUU